CUCAACUCACCGAGAUGGCAGUCGUCUCUGUCGAGAUAGCUGCACAUUGUUACUGAGUUCAUAGUUUUCAGGUUGGAGUCUGAUGGGAACAAUGGUGUGAUGUGAUGGCUUCGACGGAGGCUACAGCCUGUGUUCUACCGAAGCCUCGGCAUCUCGUCACCAAGUUUCAGGCCCGGCCGUGUCAGAAGAAGCAUCGGAACGUCACCGCCAGAAGCUCUGUAGCUUUCUUCUUGUUCCGAGGAGGUUCCUCCCUUGAUCGAUGCGCGUUUGGUAUUCUUUGGCUUCUUCUGUCACUUGCACGUUGGAGCUCAAACCAACCAUCAAGUUUGACCUCAGUAGAAUGACUACUGAGAUGGGCUUGGACAUCAUAUGAUCCACAACAGUGAAGCUUUAAUGCUCGGAAAGGUUGCAAUUAUUUGAUGUGGGUCUGCCAGGUAUCCUAGAGAGGGAAAUACGUGGUAAGUAAGACUUGUCCUGCUCUUCGAGCUUCUUCUUGAC